GGUGUCAACUACUCAGCUUUAUUACACAGGGGCAUAGCCGCAUAGGAUUGUACAUGAAGGCCAGCUGCCUUUUAUGUUGACACCAAACCUUUCUUUUCGCAUCCUCAUGCUAUGGGUGCUUGAUCAUUUGUACUUAACAUUUGGUUCACGACAAGAUACGGUUUAUUCAUUUAUUCAUUACAUCAUAAAAGAUCAUAGUAUAAGCUUAAAUGAAAGAUUGUAUAAGCUUAGGACGAUUAUAAAAGAUUCGCUCUAAUAAUGAUGCUUUUACAUUGAUAAAAUCACUGAAUAACAUUGCUAUCGUGCUAUCUCACUCCCCGUAGAAGACCUUCUCGAAGCACUCUAUGUACUCGGAUUCCAUCGAGAAAAGCACGGUAAUGCCGUCGUCCUUGUUGGCGCAAGGGGUCAUGUACGCCGUGCCGACGCCGAACAUCUGUGCAGGAGCAACGAACCGCGGCGCUCCUGAGCCGAAGUCGGCGUCGUACAUGGACAUCCCCAGCCAGCUCACCGCCCACAGGUCGGACGCCGGCACGAGCUGCUCGCUCGCCGCCUCAGCGUUGGCGCCCUCCUUGUCACCUCCCUUCCCCAGCUCCAGCUCCAGGUAGUCCACCACCGACCGCACGAACGCGUCCCCCACGCCGUCCACCGCCUUCUUGAUCGUCUCCGCCACGGACCCAAGCGAGCUGUCCAGCACGUCGCUGACCCGAGCGGUGACGAGGUCGCGAACGGCUAUCUAAUUCACCCAAUCGACCUGCUGAUCUCCGUCAUGAUGCUAAACCCCUGCCUGCCGAUGUGGCAACUAGGCAAUCGGCUGGACUCCAAAAGCUGGGGGUGCGUGGCCUCCUAUCGGCUGGAGUUGAACUCCAGCGUUCUGCUACCAGUACAUUCCAAUCUGAGGGUGCUGGAAGUUUCCCAUGAGUUGCGGCAUAGCCGAUGACUGAUUGUACUGCACAAUCGGCUGAGAUUCUUGCAAAUUUAGUCAUCAGCUGUCCCUGAUGACUCAAUAGAUCUCAUAUAUUUUUCUAUCGUCAGUGUGUACACAACUAGCCCCAGCUGGCUGUUCGGUUUAAUGCUUGCCACUAUUCACCAUGGCCGAACCAUUUAUAUUCUAGGCUGCAAUUUGCUAGACCUAUUACCAACAAAAGUAGUAAUCGGCCUUUCCUUUUUAUAAAAGGCUACGGUAUUGCCUCGUGAUUAGCCAGGACACGGUCACGUAGUUGUAUCCACCCCAACUGAAUAAGGGAAAAAAAAUCCUCCGUAGACCUCCGGGCUUUGAUCAAACUAUAUAUGUACGGCCAACAGUUUCCGAGACUAACAUUCCAUUGCAACUUGCGGACUGAAUACCUUCGGAUUUUGCUGGCCAUGUAUAUACUCCCUUUGAAUAAUUUUGAACUCAUCGGCUGAUGAUCAACAGCAAUUAAUUUUCUUUUGAUUUUUCGCCGGCCAUCAGAUCAAACUCAAAGGAGCGGUGCGCACUUGCGUCGAGCCGAUCAGUUUUGGUUCUCGUCGACUUGUUCCAUCAUUGAGCCGAUUAAAUAUACGAACUAUCUAGUAAUAAUUAUUGGUAGCAGGGUAUAUCUUCGUGUCCUACCGAGCGUGCCAAAAUGUGUUUACACAAAAUCCUGACGGUGGUGGACCCUGCAUCACCACAUGAGGACCUGGGAGAUUUGCUUAACUCCAGUGUAGAAUCCAAAUCGGCGCUCGUGAUGUGCGCAGGCGUGCCAGUUAGUUUGACCAUUCAAUUGACAAGGUGGAGAUAAUUCUUCUUGGUGAGCAUGAGUAGCUCAUCGGCUAUCCAGCCGAUUCAACACAGUUGGCGAUAAUCAUCGGCUGGAGAGCCGAUAGGAGAUAGAGCGUCAUCGAAUUCUUGCUCCACCAUAGCCAGAGCCACAAGCCAAUGAGAUUCAAACUAACGUCGCUACAAAUAUUUUUAGGUGAAAUCACAGCGAUGCGCCCAAUAGUUGCAGCCUAGAAACACUCAGCAGGACGUCAAUUUAAACCCCGCCAGCCGAUGAAUCCAAUUAUAAUGAAACUCAAUUUCAACGGCACUCGAGGGGCAACCAAGAUUAAGAUGCAACAGGCUAUUAAAAAUAGAUCUAUCGUCUAUUCCGACAGAAUUAAUAACAAUUGAUGUGUCGUAAACGGCAAGACGAUAGAACAAAUAAAUAUCAGCCGACGCAAACUUAAUCAAGGGGGGAUAACUGGUGAAUACCGUAGAUCGAGACAGAAGUGAUGCGCUAUAAGUCAAAGAUCCAAGAUACUCGAUAACUGGUAGAUGAAACUAGAUCCAACGACAGCGAUGCGCCCGGAAGUCGAAGUCUAGUACACCUGAUAAUGGGAACUUGCAGCUUGCUAGAGAUCGAGGUCGAUGCAGCGCAACUUGCUAGAAGGAACUCGUCGAGAAGCUACACUACUCCUACUCUUAAUGCAAUGGCGUGAAGCCGAAAAAGUAAAUAAAAGAUAAAUGUGUUGUAUAUUGAUCAUGUGAUGAUUCUUUACGAUGGCCAAGUCCCUUUAUAUUUAUAGGGACGUUACAUAAUUGGCAUCUAACCACGUGCAAGGCAAGUCACGUACACAAUCUUUUCUAAUAAAAAACUCUAUCUCUAACUAACCCAACUCUAUCUCUAAAAUAUUUUAUUCUAUAAGACAACCUCCCGUACAUGCAAAGAUCAGCCGCAUGCAUAACUAUUCUGGUAGCCUACCACGUAUGGCAUGCAAAGUGCACCAGAAUCCAUGUUGUAUAUUCUAAUCAUUUUUAUCCAUAUGUGCUGGCCUUUCCUUUAUAUCAACUAUGCCUCUGCUUGCCGAUCAAUCCAAUGAAGCCGAUUUGGACUCCAUGCCCAUGUGCGCGCAUGCUAGCUUCUUAUUGUUGUACGUGACUCCAAUUAUCUUGUACUCUGAAUUUAUAGUAUUAGUCAAAAUCCGGUGUCAACAGGGGCACUCACCAAGAAUACACUAGCGAACUCGAUGGCACAAGUCAUCAUCAAGCCCACCAUCGCGUUCGAAGCAGGUGCGACGUUUAUCUUCGGCUCUUGGAUUUGCAUCGCAGAUGACGCAGGAAAUUUCCACCGCCACAUUGCAUCGAUCCCGGAGAAGAAGUAGCAAACCAUGAAGCUCUAGCACCAAGAUCUGGAGGGCCUUGUCAACAAUUUUGGUGAAUUUUCAAUUUCUAACCUAGUUAGAGGCUGGGGGACGAGUUCGAGUUCAAUUUGACUUCUCCCGCUAGGCGCAUUGACUUUCACAAGCUGGCACAUAAGCCAUCGUGCGAGUCGGACUACCACGCGAGUUGAUUCCAGUCCAAACUCCACAACACAGUCACUAGUUAUCAAGCUGCCCUGUCCAGAUCACAAUUCGAUAUGGAUAUGAUCGAGGACCUUAACUACUACUCAAAUCUGGAUGAGGAGACGCCUUUAUCAGGUUCGCAGUAGGGCCUAGUGAUCACAUCAACUCCUCUAAGAUAGAUUAAUCUACUGACCCAACAUGAAGCCACUUGCUCUUACCAAAGACAACGAUUUGUGCCUCAUCGCCUACCUCGACACCCUCUCGUACCAGGAGAAAAAUCCUCCGUCACCCAUCUACGAGGAAGGCGGCACCAUAGAGGUCAUCAGUUCAAGCUUAGGAAGCCACUCUCCAGAGUGAGAACUCUUCGCCAUCAUUACUAGACAAGAGGAUGAAAAGAAGAGCAAUGGGACAGAAAUCCGCGACAUGAGCGACACCCGGAUGACGUCUCGCAGAAUGAACUCAUCACCAACAUUGUCGGAGAAGAGAUUGAAGCUUAAAGAACUCGAUGACGAGCAAGAAACACCGCAAGAGUAGAGCGCCACCGUCACCUUGUAGUGGACCUACCAAUCCAGAACCAGGAUAAUGCCUUUGAAGCAGUUCAAAUGCGUCACCAUCGUACUCCCCUAGCUAUCGUCGCGUCUAUCUAUCUCAUCACCCGCGUGAUGUCUUAGAACAAGUACACAAGAUCGUUGGCUGAACUAGCGGAACUCGGUACGAAUAACUCGAUUAGCAGAAUCUGAUACAUUCAGUCCAACGCUCCCUGUUCCAGCGAAGUCAACAUGGUAGCAGUCAUAGAGGCCCUCUGUCCAGACCAAGUCAACUCCGAGGUGCCGGACCAAGUUAAGCUGGAGCUGAAGGUAGUCGGGCAGGACCCUCGGGAGGUCGUGGCCACCGUGGGGCUAACCCAGAGCUUGAACGCCCAGUAAAAUACCUUCACAACAACAUCAACGUUAGGUGCGACGCCCGUACCAUCAUCGACGGACGGCACCGCGAGUGUAAGCAAAAAGUCGAACACCCAGCAGAUGAUACUGAUGGGUUCCCCGCCUUCUCAAGAUGUGUGAGGAGGACACCUCUACCCAAAAAGUUCAAACCCCCGAGUAUCACCAAGUACGAUGGCAAGCAGGACCCAGUCCAAUGGCUCCGGUGCUACUCGCUGUCAGUACACGCAGCUGAGGGAAACGACGACAUCAAAGUCAUCUACUUCCCCAUCUGCAUGGAGGCGGCGCCCCUCACAUGGCUUGAAUCGUUGGAUAAGAACUACAUCGACUUGUGGAAGGACCUUAAGGUAGCGUUCACCAACACUUACGUGAGGGCAAUGCAGCGUCCUGGUAACAGGAUCGACUUGUCUCAAGUUAAACUACAAGAAGGCGAGACCUUGCGGAGCUAUUUACGUUGCUUUUUCGACAAGAAGGCCACAAUCGUGGAUGUCAUGGAGCGUGACAUUAUUAACUACUUCUAGAAGGGCCUCCGCGACCACCGGAUGUUACAAGACUUCAGUAGAAGACAUCCCUCUGAUGUCAAAUCUCUCAAGAUCAUGGUACAGAUGUGAGCAUAUGAAGAAGAUAGGGAGAUCGAAAGGUUCGAGUCCAAUCACAACAAGGGCCAGAACAACAACAAUCAGAACAAUGGCCAAUGCAACGACAAGAACCACAACGAUCGCCCCAACAAUGACAAGCGAAAUAACUAUCCGGGAGGUCACAACCGCAAGCACAAGCCAAACAAUACUGUCACAGCAAUUUUGUAGUCAUCCAAGAAAUAUGGUGGCAAGAAUCAAGGCAGACCCUCGUUCAACGAGCUCUUGAGGAAACAGUGCCCAUGGCACCCAUACAGCAAGCACUCUGCGAUAGAUUGUUUCAGUCUACAAAGAGUCAUGAAAGACCUGCCAGAACCAUUUGGCACCAAAGACAAGGGUAAGGCUAAGGAAGACAAAGACGAUUGUGACAAUGGCAAGUUCCAGAACCCAUCCAACACCGUCAACGUCAUCUUUGGCAGAAUCCCAGGUACUACUACCAAGUGGUCCCAGAAGCUCACUCUCGAGAGAUAAUGUCCAUUGAACCUGCGACGCCAACGUUCCUCAAAUGGUCCGAGGUGCCAAUUACCUUCUCUAGGAAGGACCAAUGGACUAGUUGUCAGAUCCAGGACGGUAUCCCUUUGUCCUGGACCUGGUUGUUGUUGGCUCCAGACUUACUAAAGUACUCAUCAACGACAGUAGUGGUCUCAACGUCCUGUUCGUCAAGACACUAAAGAAGAUGGGCCUCGACAUCACCGAUAUGUUAACCCCAAUGAACUCUCCGUUCUAUAUGAUUUUCCCAGGCUACGCGGCUGUAACACUCGGAUAGAUGGUUUUCCUAGUUACCUUUGGGACCAAAGAACACAACCGGACAAAAUACAUUUGGUUCGAGGUAACGGACUUCGAAACAUCGUACCACGCCAUCCUUGGAAGACCAGUAUUGGCCAAAUUCAUGGUCAUCCCGCACUACGUGUACUUUGCACUCAAGAUUCUGGGACCCAAGGGAGUACUCUCCCUACACGGAGACUUGAAGAGGUCGUAUGACCGUGACACAGAAGCUGUGGAGCUAGCAGUAACUACCCAAGUAUCAAAACCGAUGAUGCAUGUCUUCACUGCAUCCAAGAAGCUAUCCCUGUCGAGCUCAAGAUUCCAGAAAAGAAGUUGGGGGCAGCCAAGGUCAAGCCAGUAAGUGAAGUAGACAGUGAUAGCUCCAAAACAGCUCUGAUCGGCACAAGGCAGGAUCUUAAAUAGGAAAGCGCGCUCAUCGGUUUCCUCCGGGCCAACCGAGACAUCUUCGCGUGGAAACCAGUGGACAUGCCGGGGGUGCCCAGGGAGUUGAUUGAGCACUCACUCAUCGUGAAUCCAAAAGAUACACCAAAAAGGCAACGCCUACGAUGAUUUGCCCAAGAUAGAAGGGAAGCCAUCAAGAAAAAGCUGUCCAAACUACUCACGGUGGGCUUCAUAAAAAAAGUCUAUGAUUCAGAGUGGCUCAUCAAUCCCACCCUAGUGCGAAAGAAAAACAACAAUGAGUGGAGGAUGUGUGUCAACUACACAAACCUCAACAAGCACUGUCCAAAGGAUCUCUUCGGGCUCCGUAGGAUUGAUGAGGUCAUCGACUCCACAACUGGAUGCACCCUCUUCUGUUUCCUCGAUUGCUACUCGGAGUAUCACUAGCUAGCUCUCAAGGAGGAAGACUAGAUCAAGACUGUGUUCAUCACCCCAUACGAAGCUUUCUGCUACACAACAAUGUCUUUCGGGUUGAAGAACGCAGGCGCUACUUAUCAACGGGCAAUCCAGGAGUGCUUCAAGAAGCAGCUACACCACAACGUGGAGGCGUAUGUGGAUGACGUGGUCGUAAAGACCAGAAAUCCCAACGACCUGAUUGCAGAUCUUGAAGAAACUUUCGCAAGCUUACGAGAGUUCCGGUGAAAGCUCAACCCGACAAAGUGCGUUUCUGGUGUGCCAUCUAGGAAACUAUUCGGGUUUAUCAUUAGUCACCGAGGCAUUAAAGCUAACCCCGAGAAGAUCUCCACCAUCACCGACAUGCAUGCCCCAUCAGGCAUCAAGGACGUCCAGAAGCUGACUGGAUGCAUGGCAGCCCUCAACAUAUUCAUCUCAAGACUUGGAGAACAGGCCCUACCCUUCUUCAAACUACUCAAGUGGUAAGACAAGUUUCAGUGGACCGAGGAGACAGAUCAAGUCCUACAACAAUUAAAGGACUUCCUAUCAAAGCCACCAGUCCUCACGACGCCAAACCCCAAUGAAGGCUUGCUGCUCUACAUCGCUGCAACUACUCAUGUUGUUAGCACAGCGAACUAGGCCAUGUAUUCAAAGUACAGAGGUUUAUCUACUUCGUAAGCGAGGUGCUGUCAGAUUUCAAGAUCAGAUAUCCACCAUUCUAGAAGCUGUUGUACGCGAUAUUGCUCACCUCGCACAAGUUAUGACAUUACUUCCAAGAGCACAAGAUCUCUGUUGUCACCAACUUCUCCCGGGAGAAAUUCUCUACAGUCGAGUUACAACAGGAAGAAUAUCUAAGUAGGCGGUAGAACUCAAAGCAUUGUCCCUGUAAUUCAAAUCAAGGACCGCAAUCAAGUCCCAAGCCCUAGUCAAUUUCAUGGCAGAGUGGUAGGAGAAUCAACUAACAACACCAGAAGAGCGUCCAGAGCACUAGGUCAUGUAUUUCGAUGGAUCGCUCAAGCUCGAGGGCGCCGGUGCAGGAGUACUCUUGAUAUCUCCAAAGGGCGAACAACUCAAGUAUGUCUUGCAAGUCUUCUGGGAAGUAUCCAACAAUGAAGCUUAAUACGAGGCGCUUCUGCAUGGGCUCCGCCUGGCAGUCUCGCUAGGAAUAAUGUGAUUUUUGGUCUACGAUGAAUCACUGGUAGUGAUCAAUCAAGUCAAUGAUGAGUGGCACUGCCAUAAGGAGAACAUGGAUGCAUAUUGCCUAGAAGUACGCAAGCUAGAGAACAAAUUCUAUAGUUUGGAGUUCCACCAUAUAGUUCAUGACAACAACAUUGUUGUGGACGUCCUAUCCAAGCUUGGAUCUACUCGUGCUCAAGUUUCAGUAGGGUUUUCAUCCAUAAGCUACACAAGCCAUCCAUAAUAGAGCCGAUACCAUCAACAACCACUGAUCGAGGUCCUACCACACCAGAUCGGGAGGUCAUGAUGAUCGACGUAGACUGGAGAGUCCCCUUUAUCGACUACACCAAAAAGCACAAGUUACCGUCAGACAAGACAGAGGCAGAGCAAAUCUUACAAUGCAGCAAGAACUAUGUUCUAGUUGGAGACAAACUUUACAGAAGAGGCGCAUCGUCAGGAGUACUCAUGAAGUGCGUCUCACGGCAAGACGGCAAGGACAUACUAGAGGAGAUCCACAAAGGCAUUUGCGGCAACCACGCGUCCUUAUGCACAAUUGUGAGUAAAACUUUCAGAUCAAGGUUCUAUUAGCCUACAUCUCUCGCUGACGCCAAGGAACUAGUCCGCCAAUGCCAAGGGUGCCAAUUCUUUUCCAAGCAGUAGCACAUCCCUACCUAGAAGUUGAUCACCAUACCACCCUCUUGGACCUUUAUGUGCUGGGGGCUAGACAUCAUUGGCCCAUAGCCCACCACAUCUAGAGGAUUCAACUGAGUUCUGGUGGCCUUUGACAAGUUUAACAAGUGGAUCGAGGUGAAGCCAGUUACCUGCCCCAAAGCAGACAAAGUACUCAACUUCCACAAUGAGCUUGUUCAUUGCUACGGCUUCCCCAAUCACAUAAUCACAGACCUGGGUUCAAAUUUCAACAACCAUGGGUUCUGGGAAUACUGCGAGAAUAGUGGGAUCGAUGUCCGAUUUGUCUCUGUCACUCAUCUGCGGGCCAAUAGCCAGGUUGAGCGCGCCAAUGGGAUGGUACUGGAAGCUCUCAAGAAAAGACUGCAUGAUAUUGGAAACACAAAAGGAGGCAAAUGGCUCAAAAAACUACCCAGCUAUGCAAGCCUACAGGGCAAUCGCCGUACUUCCUGGUCUACGAAUUCGAAGUUGUCCUACCUAUCGACGUCAUGUGGAAAUCUCCAACAGUCGAGCAGUAUGAGGAAGGUGUAGCAGAGGAAACAAGGUGUCUAGACAUUGACAGCCUCAAAGAAGCUCGCUGCGUAGCACUCAUCCAGUUCGCAAGAUACCUCGAAGGCCUUCGCCGCUACCAUGAUCGAAACAUCAAAGAACGAUCAUUCAACAUAGGCAACAUGGUCCUUCACCGUAUCCAGGACACCGAAGGGCUACACAAGAUCAACUCACCAUGGGGGGAGCCUUUUAUCAUCUCCAAGGUCACUGGACCUGAAUCAUAUCGAUUAUAACACCCCUCAGGUGAAGACGUCGACAACUCGUGGAACAUUGAGCAACCCUAUCGAUAUUAUCGCUAAUUUCAAUUUGCAUAUUCAUGUAAAUCGACCAUCAGCCCUAGUUGUAGAUUUACAAUUUAAUAAAGCAAUCAUAUUUUUGUCGUAAUUCGACUACUUAUUUCUGCCUUAUCACGGCUUGUAAUAACAAGUCUGCACAACUACAAUGAGCUUUUCAGCUCCACUGGGCAAAAUCACCCAAGUACCGCUUGUAAUAGCAAGUCUGCAAAAUUAUAAUAAGUUAUUCAACUCACUAGACAAAAUCGUCCAAUUGUAGCUUGCAAAGCAAGUCUGUAGUAAACUUUAUGUGUUAAUUAACUCAUCGGACAAACUUGUCCAGUCGCGGCUUGUAAAAACAAAUUUGCAGAAUUCCAGGAAUCUUUGAGUGAACGUCAAAGUGAGCCUAUUGAGUACGUGGAGACAUACUCUGUACAUAAGACCCUAAAGAGACCUCUAUUGAAAGAAGCCUGCAGCCCAGGUAACUUGAGUACUCGUGCACCGCAACAAAGGAACACAUCACAAGAGUACUCACAACUAGUGCUUGAUGAGGCUCAUCAAAGAAGCCUUAUGCACAGACAUUUACAUCCACCGUACGAGUAAAAUAUUAGGGAAGAUUGUAAGAUGCACUAAAAUAACAAGUCGAAAAUAGUGGAGAUUGCAUCAAGACUUAGAAAUAUUUACAUUACAAAGCAUUCAUUUCAUGUUUUCAAAAUAGAACUAAUGUUUGCCUUAAUACAGAACUACUCAAGGACCAGAUGAUUGGCUAAUUCUUCUGCAAUGGGGUUCAUCUCUUGCAUGUACUACUUGAAGAGUCAUCAGAGCAGUCAUUUGCUAUACCUUCUGCAAUAGGAGCCAGAUCAGCUUGAGGAUAGAAAGACUUGACGAAGCUCAGCAGUUGCUUGGAGAUAGACUUCGCCAUCUUCUGAAUGUAGCUGGUGAAUUUCCCUAGCACGUUCAUGAGUACUUCAAAUAGCUAAUGGGGCUCUACACCUUCAACUGGAGACUCCACCAUGUCCGCUAUUGACUAGGUCGCUUCAGAUAUCUCCUUCAGAGCGAGUUUGGCAGCUUCUAGCUCAGCUUCGUGCUCUCGGAUGGUCUUCAUAGCAUUAACCAGAUCAACCUCACCAUCCUUGCGCAUCUGUGUCUCCUUCUCCAGAUCAUGCUCCAACUUUUCAACAUGAAGCACUAGCUUGUCGUGUUGAUCUGUCACCCAAUAGAAGACAUUUUUCCAAUCGGUGAUUGAUGCUUGAAGCUCUGGUUCCAGUUUCUUAUAUUUUGUGCAACAUCAGCAUGGGGUUAAUAAGAAUCGACAUACAAUCAGUAGCCGAUGAACAUCAAAGGAGAAGAGACUACCUUCAAUUUUGUGAUUGAGAGACUUAUUGCAAGCAGUAAGACGCUCCUUCUCAUCCCCCAAAUGUUAAAUCCGGUUCCACAAGGCCGCUGUCGAGCUGUCGUGCUUCAUCAUCAAGCGGGAGAUGUACAGUUUUUCUUUCGUAAGUUCUUUCUCCAGAGCUUCAGCACGGAGUACGGUAUCACCAUACCCCUCGAGCAUCUAUGACUUGCAGUGGGAGCGAUUGAUAAGGUACUGGAACCCAAAAAUUAGUACUCGCAUUGUCACCAGGGUAGAAGUUAGCAAAUAUUGCGAAAUAGAGCAAGACAAUCUCAACUCACCUAUGCAAAAUUACCAAGAUGAUGGUGCAUCUCCAUGAUUCUAGCUAUCAUCUUCGGGUUCAGCAGCGACCAUCAAUCAACUGGAUGUCCUCUAGAGUGAUCCAACUAGGUUUGCAAUAUCAGCAUUCGCGCUUGCAUGAGGAACCAUGGCAAAACCAGCAGACGUCCCAGGUUCAGAAGAUGAAUUAACAGCCAUGGUCCCAUGGGUUGUCGCCGCCCCGACUUCUAUCUCUAGCUCGGGGGCUACAUCUGCAACCACGGUGCUAGAGGUAGUCUCUAUUUCACCCCCAAUCGGUUACGCGGAGGCUGCAGAAGUAGCCGACAUGUCCACGGCAGCCACCGUCUCCUCGGGUACUUGUUGCUCGGGGGCUGGCACCACAAACAUCAGUCAAUGAUGAUUUUACUUUUUGCAUCAAUGCUACUACAAAAGAAACAACACAUGGACUACUUGUCAUCGUGGGUUGAUUUUCCAGCUAUGGAUUUGCUUGGGCUGGGGCAACGUCCUGAACUGAGAGGCUACCGCCAUCAGUCAUGGGCCUAGAGGCAGGUCCUCCAAGGUCCAGAUGAGAGGAUUUCCUGCACAAGACAAAACCUUAGCUUGUUACAAUAAGUACUCGAAAGGAGAGGAAAUAUUACUUUGACAAUCUCCUCAACUUCAGCGUGGGUUUGCCAAACAAUCGCAGUGGCUUGACAGAUGGAGAUGGGCGCUUUUAGCGGGGCCUGCACAUCCACAAGAGGAUCUUGGCCAGCCUUGAGCUUCGCCUCUGCUGCUUGAGUUGUCUCUACGACAUUGAGGUUUAUCACCUGUGGAUCAACCUAAACUACAUUUUGAGGCUCUGGAUCAUCCUCAAUCUCAAUCAGCUCAUCGGUGAUUGGCGCCUUGCUUUGAGCAGCCACUGCAGUCGCCUUCUCCGUUUCGGCCACCUCUUCGAGUACCUACAAACCACCAGUGUCAUCCUGAGUAGACAUGGUGGUGAUACUAGAAACACCUUUCAGGAGUACACAAUACUUAGGAUCUUGUCCUUCCUCAUAAGUAAUUACCGUGUGAGCCACAUCUUUCGCGGGUACAGACUUAUUCAUGACCCGUUCCGCAAUAACGGAUCACUUCUUCUUCGGUGUGGAGGAAUCAUAGCUUCAAGCUCAUUAGCAGCCGAGCGUUUCCUUGCUCCGGAGGAAGACCCAGCCUUAGCAGAUGGCUGCGCCUUGACUUCAUCUACGGCGUCAGAACUAGUGCUGCUGGAGGACUCAACUACCUCCUCCUCCUGGUCAUCGCUUAUCAUGACUUCCCGCGUAAACACACAAGGAGUAGCUUCAUAGGAUUCUUCGGAUUCGGGUGGAGUAGGAGCAGAGAAAUACAAAUCAACAUCUUCCUGCAAAGAAAGACAAGUUAGCAAACCCAACAACUUCAAAUAAAGUACUUGGGGGCUAUAGCCAUGGUUACUUACAGGCUUUGGUGGGUUGGUGGCACUGAAUUCCCACACAAUAGUGGGGAUCUCGCCCACAUUUUUGAACAUCUGUUUGAGCCUCGCCAUGACUUCAUCAGUGCUAAUGUCUUCCAGAGAGAAUCUGGAGGGAUCGUCUAGGCCGGUGUAUUGAUAGCCAAAGUGGCACCUCUGCUACAGGGGCUGGAUACGUCGCUUCAUAAAGCUGAAUGCAACUUCGAUUCCAGUAAGACUCUCUUGUUUCAACUACGCUAUUCUACUCAUCAGCUCGGGUAGUUGGAGGCAAUUUCCAUGUUUUGGUUUAUCAAGCCAGUGGUUGUUCUAUAAGGGGCGAUGCCCUAUCAUUUUGGGUAGUUUCAGAUCAUGGUUGCUAAUGUAGCACCACUUUUCCUUCCACCUGGUAUUGGAGCCUAUCAACUCGUAAUCCAAAUACAAGCCGCUCGUUGUCUCUCACAUCUGGAUCCCGGCGCCUCCAACCAAGAGGGUAUGAUCUUUUGAGGGUUGUGGCUUCACAUGAAAAAACUUUCGGAAUAACUGAAAAUACGGCCUGAUCCUCAGAAAAGCUUCACAUAAGUGGAUGAAAACAGUAAUGUGAAAGAUUCCAUUGGGGUUCAGAUGAACCAACUCCAAUUUAUAGAAAUCCAGCAAGUCUUGGAAGAAAUCUGAAGUUGGCAAUGCAAGACCCCGCUCAAUGAAGUGGGCAAAUAUUACCAUCUCAUUGGGAUAAGUCUCCAAUGAGCAGGCGUUGUCAUAAGCAGAUCUUUAGCUGAUGAAGUUCUGAUCUUGGAGUAAUUUGGCGGCUACGAGCGCCUUGAUGUCCUCCUCCUUCAGAGUUGACUGCUUCUAGGCAUAGACGGGAUUUGGCGGCGCGGUCUGAUCGGUUUUCUCGUACUUGGGCACCGGCAACUGCAGCUCUUUCUUCUUGUCAGAUGUCUUCUUCUUCUCGCCUUCACCUGAUUUUGACGUAGCAGCUUUCCUACCCAUCCUUGAUGUCACGAGCUUCUUCUGUUACAUACGCUCGGGAGCUGCUUGGUGGGAGGACGGCGAGGCUAGUGUUCGGAGAUCAAACAGUGGCGGCGACACUAGGGCUAAAGUGUGGAAGAUGGAAAGACAAAUGGCAAAGGUAAAACGGAAGGGAUAACUUCCUCCGUUAUUUAUAAUAGUGGCACUGUAAAAAUUGCGCAAAUGAAGGGAUUUUGACUUAAAGGAUCCCUAGAAUUUCGGACAUCUGAUUGGCAGUUACCUUUAUUUCAGGAAGAGAUAAGAUCUCCUUCCGAAGAUGGUCACAUUGACCAAAGGUUAACCCUUAUACCCACCAAACUAGUCAGCUAAAGGCUCGGGGGCUGUAUGCCACGUGUUCAUUGACGAAAAAAAAUUUCUCCAGAUUUUAAGGGGCAAGUGAUGUAAAUUACAGAUUGACCCUCAGUCUGAUUCUUCGAUUCAUCCUAAGACUCGAGGGCUACUCCAUAUGGAGUGCGACUUUCAUCGCACUUCUAUAUAAAAUUCAACAUUGAAGGAUAUGAGACUAAGUUAAAUGAGGCUUAAGAACAUUCUAGCUGCAUGCAGUUUUUGGGUACCUUUGAAGAUUCAACUAGAUGAAGUACUCGAAGAGUACCAAAACUAGUCGUUAAAGUCUGCAAAAGUACUCGAAAAUGUUGUAUUUGACUAAAAAGUACUCAGGGGUUUGUUGUACAUAUAUCUAUAGGCCCACCAGAAGGUUUGGAUAGUCCUAAAUAUGGGGCUGGAUACUGAGACACAUCUGACAUGGAGACCAUGGUGUAGAACGGCGUAGUCGAGGAUUAGGAAAGUACUCAUUGUAAUAAGAGUAAAACUCCUCUAAUCAUAUCCGACUAGUAUUCUUGUAACCAACCGACCUAUAACUCUGCCCCUGGCAAUAUAAGGCGAGGCAGGGACCCCCUCCAAAGCAAUUCAAUUCAACCAACACACAAGACAUAGGGUAUUAUGCAAUCUAACGGCCCGAACCUAUCUAAAUCAUGUAUCUGUAUUUAGCUUCGAGUUCUUGAUCUUGACGAGCCCCACUAACCAAAACACUACCUCGGGCACCUCCCUUGGUAGGUUGCCGGGUCUAAAUACCGACACAUAGCAGUCCUUAAACUUGUUCCAAACUCUCAUCCUAGCCCCGGUACUCUCGAAAUGCACAUAAAAGUCCGAAACUUGUCCCGAGCUCUCAUCCAGGUCAUAAACUUAUUCCGAGCUCUCAUCCACAUCCAUAAAUUUACAAAGAGCUCUCAUCUACUAAAGCUUUGAGUUGGAUUUGAUCUUGGUUUGAAAUCCUAAUGAAUGUUUUAUCAAUUUUGAAUGGGAUUCAAACUUGGUUUCAAUUGCUUAUGAAUUUCAGAUUGAUUUUGAGUGGGAUUUGAACUUUUAGGAUUUGAAUCCCACUCAAAUUCAUGCAAAGUUCAUAAGUAUUUGAAACCAACCCAUUCAAAAUCGAUCAAAAAUUAAUGAGGAUUUUAAACCAAGUUCAAACCCCGCACAAAGUUUUAGUGGAUGAGAGGACUAGAUAAGUUUAUGGACUUAGAUGAGAAUUCGGAACAAGUUUAGGUUGUUAUGUGCAUUUUAAGAGUACCGUGACUGAGAUGAGAGCUCAGGACAAGUUAAAGGACCAGGAUGAGAGUUCCGAACAAGUUUAAGGAUCACCGUGGGCAUUUUGAGAGUACCUAGAUGGGGAUGAGAAUUCAGGACAAGUUUACGACCGUAAAAUUUGCUCAUAGUUAAUUGACUUCCAUGAGCAUGGAAAUGCACAUGAGAUUCAUUCUCGGCACAAGAGAAAUAAAAAAAACAGCUUUGAUCCAACAAAGCUGCCCCUAUGCAUGCACAUCGUCGAACUCCAAAUUCAAAUAUUAAGCACUCAGAACAGUCGGUACAAACCCAAACACACGUUAACAAGACAACAAAGGUGAUCUCACUCCCCGUAGAACACCUUCUCGAAGCACUGCAGGUACUCGGGCUCCAGCGCGAACUGCACGGUGAUGCCGUCGUCGUCCUUGCUGGCGUGCUGCGUCACGUACGCUGUGCCGCUGCCGAACAUCUGCGCCGGCGCGACGAACCGCGGCGCGCUCCAUCCGAAGUCCGCGUCGUACAUGGGCAUCCCCAGCCAGCUGACCACCCACAGGUCCGUCUCCGGCAUGAGCUGCCCGCGCGCCGCCUGGCCGCCCUUCUCGGACUCCACCUCCAAGUAGUCCACCACGGAGCGCGCGUAGGCGUCGUCCACGCGUCCCACGGCGUCCCCGAUCGCCCGCGCCACGAACCCGAGCGGGCGCGCCAGCACGUCCUCCACCCGGGCGGUGACGAGGUCGCGCACGAUGGCGUUCCCGAAGUAGCU
rnacentral:lncRNA from 1 species